UACGUAGGGUGCAAGCGUUGUCCGGAAUUAUUGGGCGUAAAGAGUUCGUAGGCGGUUUGUCGCGUCCGUUGUGAAAUCCCGAGGCUCAACCUCGGGCUUGCAGUGGGUACGGGCAGACUAGAGUGCGGUAGGGGAGAUUGGAAUUCCUGGUGUAGCGGUGGAAUGCGCAGAUAUCAGGAGGAACACCGAUGGCGAAGGCAGAUCUCUGGGCCGUAACUGACGCUGAGGAGCGAAAGCAUGGGGAGCGAACAGG
rnacentral:rRNA from 1 species